rnacentral:lncRNA from 10 species
AGGCUCAGCAGCAGCCCGUUGUAAGAUGGAGGUGCGUCCUCCAGGAUUGAAGUGAGUGGACAGCAAGCCGCAGGGCCCCCACCCCAGCUCAUGCCCAUGAUUCUAUGGGUUCCUGUCCAACCAGCCAAAGCGGGGAGGAAAAGCCUGAACUUGGGGUACAGAUGGGUCAGCUCCACAGGUCAGCAGAGAGAGAGUCACAUCUGGACCUUUGGGAGAGGAUCCAGAGAGUCUGCACUUUGCACAGAUGCCAUCACUGUAGACCUGUCUUCCUUGGGGAGGAGCAAGUGUGUUCUGUGAGUGAGACAGACGGACAUUUGGGUGGCUGCCCAGGCUCCUUUCCAGCUGGAUGUAGCAAAGUUACCUAGUUCUAGACAAUGGAAUGGGAGCAUAUGUGAUGUGUGCUACUUCCGGGUCAUGCUCUUAAAGGGAAUCGGGAGGAGUUUGUCUUGAUUUAUUGUUUUCCCUCUUCCCACCAGCUAGAAUCCAAACAUAAUGAUAGGAGCUAC